rnacentral:rRNA from 1 species
UACGUAGGGUGCGAGCGUUGCCCGGAUUCAUUGGGCGUAAAGCGCGCGCAGGCGGAUGCACGCGUCCCGCGUGAAAUCGCCCGGCUCAACCGGGCGGGGUCGCGGGAUACGGUGCGUCUGGAGCACGGGAGGGGGCAGUGGAAUUCCCGGUGUAGUGGUGGAAUGCGUAGAUAUGCGGAGGAACACCGAUGGCGAAGGCAAUCCCCUGGGCCUGCACUGACGCUCAUGCACGAAAGCGUGGGGAGCAAACAGG